rnacentral:rRNA from 1 species
UGAGGAAUAUUGGGCAAUGCCCGCAAGGGUGACCCAGCAACGCCGCGUGGAGGAUGAAUGUCGUAAGAUUGUAAACUCCUGUUAGAGGGGAAGAAUAGUACCGGUUGGACCGGUAUAUGACUGUACCCUCAGAGAAAGCCCCGGCUAACUACGUGCCAGCAGCCGCGGUAAUACGUAGGGAGCAAGCGUUGUUCGGAUUUACUGGGCGUAAAGGGCGCGUAGGCGGCGCGGUAAGUCACUUGUGAAAUCUCUGAGCUUAACUCAGAACGGCCAAGUGAUACUGCUGUGCUAGAGUGCGGAAGAGGCAACCGGAAUUCUUGGUGUAGCGGUGAAAUGCGUAGAUAUCAAGAGGAACACCUGAGGCGAAGGCGGGUUGCUGGGCCGACACUGACGCUGAUGCGCGAAAGCCAGGGGAGCAAACG